UACGUAGGUCCCGAGCGUUGUCCGGAUUUAUUGGGCGUAAAGCGAGCGCAGGUGGUUUAUUAAGUCUGGUGUAAAAGGCAGUGGCUCAACCAUUGUAUGCAUUGGAAACUGGUAGACUUGAGUACAGGAGAGGAGAGUGGAAUUCCAUGUGUAGCGGUGAAAUGCGUAGAUAUAUGGAGGAACGCCGGUGGCGAAAGCGGCUCUCUGGCCUGUAACUGACACUGAGGCUCGAAAGCGUGGGGAGCAAACAGG
rnacentral:rRNA from 1 species